rnacentral:rRNA from 1 species
GACGAACCUUGCUAACGUUAUUCGGAAUUACUGGGCUUAAAGGGUGCGUAGGCGGUGCAGCAAGUCGGGUGUGAAAUCCUCCAGCUCAACUGGAGAAUUGCGCCCGAAACUGCUGUGCUUGAGAAAGAUAGAGGUACGCGGAACUUAGGGUGGAGCGGUGAAAUGCGUUGAUAUCCUAAGGAACACCGGUGGCGAAAGCGGCGUCCUGGACCAACACUGACACUGAUGAGCGAAAGCCAGGGGAGCAAACGGG